rnacentral:tRNA from 1 species
GGGCUGGUAGCUGAGAUCGCCCGGCACCUGGUUGAAGCCCAGGAGACGAGGAUUCGAGCGCCUCCCAGCCCA